rnacentral:rRNA from 1 species
CAGUAGCCACGGUAAUACGGAGGGGGCUAGCGUUGUUCGGAAUUACUGGGCGUAAAGCGCACGUAGGCGGCUUUGUAAGUCAGAGGUGAAAGCCCGGGGCUCAACCCCGGAAUUGCCUUUGAGACUGCAUCGCUUGAAUCCAGGAGAGGUGAGUGGAAUUCCGAGUGUAGAGGUGAAAUUCGUAGAUAUUCGGAAGAACACCAGUGGCGAAGGCGGCUCACUGGACUGGUAUUGACGCUGAGGUGCGAAAGCGUGGGGAGCAAACAGGAUUAGAUACCCCAGUAGUCCCUGUCUCUUAUAC